CAUGUUAAACAUUUAAUAUAAAAAAUUAUCUAGGGUGCAAUUUUAAUAAAUAAUUCGUUAUUCGUCUUUCUUUCAUACCGGUACUAAUCCGGAUUGGGGAUGAACACGUCAACAAAAUCAGGAUUGGAGAUGAAAUUGAAGGUCACUUGCCCGUUUCUUAAUAUGUAUUAAAUCUACAUGCAAGCCGUGUCAACAUAGAAGACAUGUGGAAUCUUGAACUGAACUUUUGUAGGGUAAGACCAUAUCUGUUUAUGCCGUAACUAUGAAGUCUCAGAUCAUAGACCAUUUUUUUAUAAAUUAAGAGUGUAUGUUUUUUUCUCUCGUUGCAACGCACGGGCCCUUUUGCUAGUAAACAACAAACCCCAAAACCACAAAUGACAAAACCCAAAAUCACCAAAGCAUGUAGUCCCGGUUGACGUUACCAACCGAGACUAAAGAUCCCGGCCACACCACGCAUGCAGCCAGCCACGUGGAAAUGUAUUAGUCCCAAUUCGUAGCAAACCGAAACUAAAGGGGGGGGGGUCUUUAAUCCCAAGUUAAUAGUCCCGGUUGAUAAACCGGGACUAUAUGCCCUUAUCAACCGAAACUAUAGCCCGGUUUUCCACUAGUGAACCCAUUGUACAAUGAAAUGAAUCUUUCGAGUCCUAUUUAUGAAUGAUGAGGAAAGAUGGGAUCUGAGCGACAAGUAGAUGUGAGUCUACUUGAUUAUAUGAAUAAGUUUCGUUCUUUGUGUCCACAUAAUAUAUAGACCUUCCCUGUUACAUCUAUUAUCAAUUUAGAAUGUGAGAAAACCCACUUUAAUGUUUCUUGUGGCAUUUGCUUUCCACCAUGUUUCAUAUGUGGAGUGAAUUGUUGCUGAUUUUCCAUGGCUAUUUAUAGUCACUUCUAUCAAACGAGUUGUCAUAGGUUUAUUUGGUCUCGGCUCGGACAAUAAGUGUGACAUUGAUUAAAGGAUUGCAUCUAUGGAACACCACCUAUUUAGAGUGAGCAAAAGCGCACUCGCAUUUCUCAAUCUUCGUUUUGCAUUGCGUGACUAUAGCAAUGUUGGCGAAACACCGUGCAGGCCCUGAAGUAAAUAUUUGACUUCUAGGUUAUUUAAUGUAUGCCAAGUGGAUGUAUAUCCAGCUAGAGCUAGGAUGAUUCUACAAUGAAAGAUAGACCUAGGAUUGGGAGGAAACAGGAUGUUGCUGUCAGGAGCCUUGUUCCUGAAGUGUAUGAACUCUGGACUGAGCCAUUGUAUGAAAAAACUGCAACGCAGAAAUGGGAGAUGCCCCGGGACUGUUUAACUGAAGAUGGAGCUUGUUAGGAAUAAACACGUACAUGUCUGUGUCCUUGCCGUCCAAGUAUAUAUGUGUGCGUGUCCGUGUAGGUUUCCUAAACAAACACUGAGUAGGAUUACUAGUUGAUAGAGGCUAACUAGUAUAUAUACUCAAGAUAUCCCCUAUAAACUUGUACCGUGAAUCAGAUCCAACAAAGCAAUACAAAUCUUAAGAGCGACACGCUUCUGUUACUAUACAUCGGCGCCUCGUGUUUUGUCUCGGCGAAGAUUGAUAGUAAAUCCGGCGGCUUGUUGUUUGGCACGUAACGUUGAGCUAGCUUCAUGUGUACGUGCUAGCUAAUCAGCCAAAGGAUCGAUCCAGCUCCCUGCUUGCUUGGUUGCUUGCUUAGUAUUACGUGUGUGUUUGACGGCCGAAAUCGUAGAUCGUCGGAAAGUACUCGGCGUACGGGUCUAUGCCAACAAUUGGUAUCUAGAGCAAGGUUGAUCUUUUAGUAACGGAAGAUCAUGUCGGAGGACGACAAAGCCAAGCAGCUGACGGCGUACUCCGGUGCGGCUAAAAUAUUUGCUGCUCCGGCUAGUUCGUCAUACCCACGAUUUGAUCGCGAGAACUUCGGGGUUUGGAAAGCCCUGAUGGAGUGUGGUCUCCGCGCCAACGUGUUGUGGGACGCAGUCGAUCCAGGAGGCGACGCUUUCAAGAAGGAGCGAGCUGAGCAUCGGAAGGAUCGGCAGG
rnacentral:lncRNA from 1 species